rnacentral:rRNA from 1 species
UACGUAGGGUGCAAGCGUUGUCCGGAAUUAUUGGGCGUAAAGGGCGCGUAGGCGGCUGUACAAGUCAAAGGUGAAAUCCCUCGGCUCAACUGAGGAACUGCCUUUGAAACUGUACGGCUUGAGGCCGGGAGGGGGUAGCGGAAUUCCCAGUGUAGCGGUGAAAUGCGUAGAUACUGGGAGGAACACCAGUGGCGAAGGCGGCUACCUGGACCGGUUCUGACGCUGAGGCGCGAAAGCGUGGGUAGCAAACAGG